UUGUUAGGGAGGGGCGGAACCAAAGAAGUGGGAAGGUUGGUGGGUCCUGUGUGACUCCUCCUAGCGGGGAGUUGGAGAGCUUUGUGGCGGUAGAGCUUGUGUGUACUUUGACAGCUCUUUGAGGGAGCGCCAAGCAAGGAAGCCUCACCAAGGAUUUUAUACUCAGCUUAAGCCCCUGGAAGAACUACUGAAAACCCAGCCUUUUAUCCCAGCACACUGCUGCCCUGAAGAAACCUGCAUUUUGUUACCCAGGACAAAGGGAAGAAUGCUUCUGUCAUAGUUUGUAAACUCUGUAUCUCCUGAACCAUUUUCUUCUCGCCGCCCUCGCCCUCGGGAGCUGUGGUUCUCAGCCUUCCUAAUGCUGCAACCCUUCAAUACAGUUUCUCAUGUUGUGGUGACACCAACCAUGAAUUAACUUUUGUUGCUACUUCAUAACUGUAAUUUUGCUACUAUUAUGAGUCACAGUAUAAAUCUGAGAUGCAUGAGAUCUGAUUUGUGACCCUGUGAAAGGGUUGAGCAGUGCUGUUCUAGAGGCAAGAAGGUCCACCUCUUGGCUGCCUUCCUCCUCACACAACAGCAACAUUUCUUUGUAAAUAAUGUCUACUUAUUUUACUACAGGAAAUGAAGAUUCUUUUUUUUUUUUUACUACUUGUGUUUGCCUAUAUGCUCUCUCCUCCCCACUUUUCUUCCAACAUAAUUAUGCCAUAAUUUUACUCAAUCAAUAUUUAAUGCUUAUAUUAUUAUGCGCAUGUUACUAUUAUUCCAAGUCGAUCUGUGUAGUGUAUUGUAGCUAUGUACGACUUACAUUUCCUUAAAAAACAUUUAAAUCUUCUACCUACUCCUCUUCUUUGACCUUGAGCUUCUAAUAUCUCUGCCUCCAACUCUCAAAAGCUAGGAUAACAGGCACAUACCACCAUGUUCAGAUUGUAUUUAUGAUAAAAUUUUAUUGAAUUAUUUUUGUGUUUGCUUACAGGUCGUAGGUCUAAGCUUUUAAAUAUUAUUUAUUAUUAUUUUGUAUGUGCAUGAUUGGGGGUGGGGGUGUGCUAUAACCCAUUUAGAGGUCAGAGGGCAGGGUGGUGGAACCUCACCGUGGGUUCCAGGAACUCGACUUGGGUGGUUAAGCCCCUUCUACAGAACUUAACUCUGAAUAGUGUUGUUGUUUUUAUUUUCUUUUAACAACAUUUCAGGCAGUGAUGAUGCUAAACAUGUAAGCUCAGCCCUCUGUGUUUAACUGUAAUCUUCUAUUGUCUUUUCAGGUUCUCCAUUACGGACUCUCCACCCAUCAUAUUUUCUUCAGCGUGUUUACAGAAAGAUGAAACAAAGACAAGUAGAUGAGAGCAGAGCACGGCCAGGUGCAGGGCCAGGAGCAGGGCCAGGUGAAGGCCCCUUGGGCACAUUUACCCUCUGCUUAUUGUAAGGUUCAUUUAUUUCAGAAGUCAGGGACAAUAAUGCCCACUUUCUGUAGUUGAAAUUUGUUGCAAUAAACAGAUGAGGGUAUGUAAAUGAACACUACUGGAAAGAUACAUGGCAGCAUAUGAGUGUGAAAAUUAAAAUUCUCAGAAAGCAAUGGGCUGGAGAGAUGGCUCAGCAGUUAAGAACACUGGCUGCUCUUCCAGAGGUCCUGAGUUCAAUUCCCAGCAACCACAUGGUGGCUCAUAACUGUCUAUAAUGAGAUCUGGUGCCCUCUUCUGGCCUGCAGGCAGAACACUGUAUAAUCAAUAAGUAAAUCUUUAAAAAAAAUUCUCAGGGACAGAGACCCUCCUGAUGAAUGCUUAAUUUGAACUCCUUGUUUUUGCUUUUGAUCAAAGGAAACAAAAUAAGGCAAGAAUCAGGUGAGAUUAAGAGAAACAGUGGAAAGGAAGCAGCUCUAGGCAGUGGGGUGGAGCCAAAGGCUUCAGGCAGUGUGAUGGCUGACAGGCAGGAUUUGUACCCUGAUACUGAGACCUACUGGGUGUCUUAGUCAGGGUUUCUAUUCCUGUACAAACAUCAUGACCAAGAAGCAAGUUGAGGAGGAAAGGGUUUAUUCAGCUUACACUUCCACAUUGCUGUUCAUCACCAAAGGAAGUCAGGACUGGAACUCAAGCAGGUCAGGAAGCAGGAGCUGAUGCAGAGGCCGUGGAGGGAUGUUCUUUACUGGCAUGCUUCCUCUGCCUUACUCACCUUGCUUUCUUAUAGAACCCAAGACUACCCACCCCAGGGAUGGCACCACCCACAACGGGCCCUCCCCACGCCCCUUGAUCACUAAUUGAGAAAAUGCCUUACAGCUGGAUCUCAUGGAGCCAUUUCCUCACCUGAAGCUCCCUUCUCUGUGAUAACUCCAGCUUGUGUUAAGUUGACUCACAAAACCAGCCAGUACACUGGGCCAUCUAUAAAUGUCCUUGUCUGCAAUGGGGAAAGUAAUAUCUAUUAUCAGUGUUUCUAUAAGAAAUAGACUUAUUGGUCUAGGGAAAUGAGUCAAUAGGUAAAAAUGCUUACUUAGACAUACAAACCUGAGAUCAAACUGAGAGCACUCAGGAGAAAGCCAGAUGUGAUGACGCAGGCCUGUGAUCCCAGCACUGCGGAGGGAGAGGCAGACAGAUCCCUGGGAUUACAGACAGCCAAUCCAGCCAAAUCAGUGAACUCCAGGUUCAGUGAGAGGCUCUACCUCCAAAAAAAAAAAAAAAAAAAAAAAAAAAAGGUGAAUAAUUGAGGAAGACACAAUGCUGACCUUUCACUCCACCUGCACACAGAUGAACACACACACACACUCCACAAGUCUAAAAAUAAAAGAUACUUACAGGGAUAAAAAUAAGUUUUGUCGCACAGUCAGCAUUCAACAGAUGGUAGUAAUGAUGAGUGGUUAGGGCUUGUGUCUCCAGAGCUGCCUGUCUAGGUUCUACCUCAUGCUAUCAUUUAUGAGCCAUGUGAUUCAAAAGCAAAUCACUCAAACCCUCUGGGCUUGUCUCUUCUGUAAGAUGCUAUAGUAACAGUAGCCACCUUAGAGGACAGUUAUGAAUUCUAAAUAUGUCACCCAAUAGAGAAAUGUGUAGAAUUGAGCCCUGGUGCAUCAGCACUGCUCAAUAAACAUCAGUUUAUUGUUAUUAGCUAUAAGACAACAAGGCAGCUAUUCCAAUCAUGCAUCAAGUUUUCAUUUGGGGUACAAAUAAAGCUGCAAUCUAAUCUUUGUCCUCUGUGUCUGUUUGGACGUCUAUAACAAAGUAUCUUAGACUAGGUAGUUUAUAAACAAGAUAACUAUUAUUCAUAGCUCUAGAACCUUGGAAGUCCAGGACUAUGGUACCAGUAGAUCUAGUGACUGGAGAGGGGCAGUUUCUCACCAAUGGUGCCUUCUAUGACUUCUCAAAAUAUAGAAAGGCAGGUGAGUUCCCCAGGCCUCUUUAAUACAGGGAAUGACCACCUUUAAGUGAUCAGAAUUCUCAUGACCUCUAGUAAUCUCUCCUAACUGCUCAUAAUCUCUUAGCAGAGAUUAGACUUCAUUUUAUUUAGGGUAAGGGAACACAGAUAAUGAAACCAUAGCAUGUAUUCAAUAGGUUUGUGCAUAAUAACAACACAGAUUAUCUUUCCUGAUAACAGGUGGCUCAUUAGCUAAAAGACCUCCAGUCCCAAGACCAUAGGUGUUAUGAAGGGGGAACCUUUGGUGGCCCAUGCUGAGAUGUGCCCCUGAGCAACAGACCUGGUGUAAAAGAGGUCUAUAGGAGGAGGGGGAGGGGAGAGGACCUGGGGAAGGGAUAGAGGCAGGCAAGUGAGAAUAUAGACAGGCAGAUAGACGGGAACAGAGCCAUGAGGACAGAGAAAGGGGACAGAGAGAGGGGCACACCCUAAGAACAAGAGAGGGAACACCAAGGACACACAGAGAGAUAGAGUGGCAGCACACACCUGUCACACCUGGCAGUGGCCUCAGGUCAUGGUGCUUAAGCUAGGUUCCUGAGGUCAGGCCAAUGGAAUCACCUAUAUGCUGCUAACAAUAGAUCUUUAAGCCAGGAGUAACGGGGCAUUUGAAGACAUUCUGUGCUUUGGUAGCUAGUUUUAUGUCAACCUAUCACAAGUAAAAGUCAUCAGAGAGGGAGGAACCUAAGCUAAGAAAAUGCAUCUAUAAGAUUGGGCUGUAGGCAACCUUUAGAGCAUUGUCUUAGUGAUGGUGGAGUGCCCAGCCCAGCCCAUUGUGAGUGGUGCCAUCCCUCUGCUGGUGGUCCUGGGUACUAACUUCUGUCUUAAUGUUCUAUUUCUGUGAAGAGAAAGCAUGAACGAGGCAACUCAUAAAAGAAUACACUUAAUUGGGAACUUGCUUACAGGUUCAGAGAGGUAAACCCUCAUCAUCAUGGUGAAUGUGAUGGCAGGCAGAGAGGCAUGUGUUGGAGAAAUAGCUGUGAGUGUACAUCCUAACCUGGCAGUGGGGGUGGGAGGAGAGAAAAGCCUAUGGGAGGGCAUUCUCAUUCAAACCACCACAGACUCAGAAACCAUCACCUUACCACUAGCUGUAAAAAUGAGUAUGUACAACAGAUAUUGAACUUUGAAGUCACCCUGUCUUCAAACCAGGUACCUACUCCCACCCAAUACCCAGAGUUAUCUAGAGGCACCUGCUAAGCGUCUCAGCAGCCCGAACUCUACCCCAUCUUAGGAUCAGCACGCAGCUGCUGUACCUCAGGACUGGCAGCUUUAGAUCCUAGCAUGGUUCCCAGAGACUGAGAGGGCAGCAGUGCCCACACACUCUGUGACUAAUUUUUGAAAGAAUAACCUACUAAUCAGCGUGGGAGGGAGCAGAACAGCGAAUGUGCCUGUCUUCAUAUGGUAUCACACAUCAUGUAAUACAAAUGUACUAUCUAAUUCAGCAUGGUUUCUUCCCUCCCACACUCUCCCUGCGAUGGCUUAGUGUUUAUUUCUCUUCUGAGAACUUCUCAAAGGUGUGGACUAAUUUUCACCACUGGCUAUAUGUGGAUUGGAUAGAUGAACACACUCAUCCAUUCAACGCGUAUUUGCUGAGUCAUAAGCAUCACUGUGGAGUUGUAGGAGAGCUUGAGACAGACGUGCCCUGUGAUCCCACGGGGCUCCCUGUUUAGGAAUGAGACAACAGACAGCUUCCAAUAAGAAGCUGAAUAAGGAGAUCCCAGAGAGCAAGUGUGAUAAACCCUCAGGAGCCUACUGAGGCAAAUGUCUGUGGCACUUCCCUGUAAGGACAAAGCAGUGUGUCCUGUGUCCCCGAGUUUCAUCUCUGUGCAGAAGGUCCCUACAGAGGAAAGGAGGGAUCCAGACUGACCUGAAAUGACCCAGUCCUCCCCCAACGCUCGAGCAGCAGCAUGGCUUAACUGCAUUAGUGUGUCCUGCCAUUGUCUGGAGGUGACAAGACGUGGCCUCUCUAACCGAUGGGUUUACAGGAGUAUCCCAGCCAGUCUCUGCCCUGUGACUGUAAGUUUAAAGAUACGAAUCUCAGAUUGUUUGAAGUUAAAAAAAAAUCUCCAUUCUUCUAUUCCCUUUCUUUUCUUUCACUUUCUACACUAAGUAAGAAAGUGCCUCUUCCAGAAAUGACCUGUAUGAGCCCAUCUUUCCCUGUAAGGAGAAAAAUGAAAGCUGCCACUGCCUGAGUCCUGACAGUGGAAAGCCUGUUGUAUUUGUAAAACAUAUGUAUAUGCAGGGAAAUUAUUUUUUUAAAAAGAAUAUAUAAUAAAUGUAUUUUGACUGCUUUAUGUGCCUAAGUAAUAAAAGAAAAACAAACUUAAUUGAUCUAAACCAAAUGUGCCCCUUGAUGCAUGUAGAAACUCCCAUGGAGAUAAUGGAAGGUUGUGUUUGGAUUUCAGCAUCAUGUGUGUUAUCCAAAGGCAGAGACUGGUAUUUAGUACACGUGAAUGUGUUCUGCAUCCAUAUAUUAGGUUUUUGUGUAUGCCUGUGAUUUCUGUAUUUCUACUGAUAGCCUGGGAUGGAGAGGAGUGUUGAGAGCUGAGCUGACUGGCAGAAGCCAUGUGAGUAGAGUAGAGGGCUAGGAGCAUUUGUGCUCUCAUUUCUCCUUGGUAAAAGGUCUCCGUGAGUAUGCUUGGAAAAACAUUUUAGGAAUUUCCAUGGUGGUGAUAACUUCUAGUUCUCUGUGAUUGUACCAUGUGGGGCUGAAAAGGGGCAAAUAGCAAAUGCCCUUUGCUUCUCUGCUUAGCUUUGUUUAUGAGCCUUGUUCUGUAGACAUAUGAGCUAAAGUAGGAGCAGAAAUAAUGAAGGUAUGAUAAUAACUUUCUCACCAAUAUGAUCAAAUGCCUGGCUCAAAGGAGGAAGGCUUUACCUUGGUGUAAAGUGCCCCAGUCCUCUAUGAUGGGAAGGGCACAGCAAAGCAGAAAUGCUUGGAGUGUAGAGUGUGGGGUGUUAUAUUUAUAUCAUGAGAGAUAAGAAGUAAGAGAGAGUGGAUGGGAUCAGGGACUUUCAAAGUAAUGCCCCUGCCUAGUGACCUGCGUCUUCCAGGUAGGGCCUACCUCCUUAAGUUUACAUCAUCUCUCUAAAAUAAUGUCAUCGGGUAUAAGCCACGCAUUCAGCACAUGAGCCCGUGGGUAACACAUUAUAUAACCAUCUUCCUCAUCUGUAAAACCAAGGUUCAGAAUCCAAGAGAGGGAAGCACAGACACUGGGGACUGGGGGAGGGCGCCCCUUCAAACUUGUACUAAGUCUAAUUUUGUCAAGUGAAAUGAUCAAAACAAAUUACAUAUUUAUUCUAGGCACCCAUGGAAAUGGUGAGGGCAAAUUAUUCCAACGCAAUUACUCUUCAGAAAAGAGUUAUUAUUCAAUUUCUACUCUUGCUCUUAAUACUUCACUUAUAUUUAUAUCCCUAAUGCUAUCAGGACACAUUAAUCCAAGCAAGACACCAGCCAAGAAUCUCAGCUAUCAUUUAUAUUUGGUAUGCUUUUCUACAUGCAUUUACAACACCAAUUAAAGCACAUACAUGCAGACAGACAGACAAACAGACCCACAAUCACAUGCUCCUCCCUCACCCACAGCAGAGCCAUUUGUGACAGGCUAAUUCCUAGUAGAUUCUCAGUGGAUUGGUUUCACAGCUUAGCUAUUCAUCGUCAGACAGGGAGUCUGUGUUCUCCCACCCCCGACCCCAUGCACUUCCAGUUUGCAGAAUGGUGCCAGACUGGCAUCUUGUCUUGUGACUUGAUAACAGAUUCCAUUAAUAGUGCAUCCAGUGGCCCUGACAUCCAGUCCUGCUCAGCUGGGGGCAUCUGGCAAUUAGUGCCAGCCUGGAGAACUGCAAGGGCUGUGGAGCCAGUGCCAGGUCAUACAUAGAGGCUGACUGUGGUCCACAACCUCUGUAUGCACAAGGAAUUGCAAAAAGGGAGCUUUGAAAUGAAAUGAAAAAAAAAAGCUGAGGGAAGAUAUUGGGUCCAGACCUUCUUCAUAUUUGCCAUCCCACUUUGUGAACUCUGCGGUGAAACAAAACUACCACUGUAUCUCUAGGCUGGGCUGAAGCCUAGUUCAGUGGUCUAUUUAUUCCCCAGCACAUGGCUGGGGCCCGGUGAUUGUCAUUAUCAUUAUUAAUGAUGGUAAUCAUUGACAACAUGGUAAACAACUUGAAAAGAUCUAGCUUCCUGAAGGGGAAAAAAAUGUAAGUCACUGUAAGAAUGACUCUUUUACAUGGGAAUAAAUAGCACAUUUGUGUCUUGGUACUUUAAA